rnacentral:rRNA from 1 species
ACGGGUGAGUAACGCGUGAGUAACCUGCCUCUCAGAGGGGGAUAACGUUCUGAAAAGGACGCUAAUACCGCAUGACAUCCCGGGGCCGCAUGGUCCUGGGAUCAAAGGAGCAAUCCGCUGAGAGAUGGACUCGCGUCCGAUUAGCUAGUUGGUGAGAUAAAGGCCCACCAAGGCGACGAUCGGUAGCCGGAUUGAGAGGUUGAACGGCCACAUUGGGACUGAGACACGGUCCAGACUCCUACGGGAGGCAGCAUG